rnacentral:tRNA from 1 species
GGGCAGUUAGCUCAGUUGGUUAGGGCGUGGUGCUAAUAACGCCAAGGUCGCGGGUUCGACCCCGCCGCGGGCCA